UACGAGGGGGGCAAACGUGUUCGGAAUUAUUGGGCGUAAAGCGCGGUGUAGGCGGCUCGAUAAGUCUGCUGUGAAAGUUCAGGGCUCAACCCUGAAAUGCCGGUGGAAACUGUCGAGCUAGAGUACGGAAGAGGUGAGUGGAAUUCCUGGUGUAGCGGUGAAAUGCGCAGAUAUCAAGGAGGAACACCUGUGGCGAAGGCGGGUCUCUGGGCCGAUACUGACACUGAGGAGCGAAAGCGUGGGGAGCGAACAGG
rnacentral:rRNA from 1 species